rnacentral:rRNA from 1 species
UACAGAGGUCUCAAGCGUUGUUCGGAUUCAUUGGGCGUAAAGAGCGUGUAGGCGGCUCGAUAAGUCUGCUGUGAAAGUCCAGGGCUCAACCCUGGAAGGCCGGUGGAAACUGUCGGGCUAGAGUCCGGAAGAGGCGAGUGGGAAUCCCGGUGUAGCGGUGAAAUGCGCAGAUAUCGGGAGGAACACCAAGGCGAAGGCAGCUGCUGGGACGGUAUGACGCUGAGGAGCAAAGCGUGGGGGACGAACAAGGGAAU